rnacentral:rRNA from 1 species
AUUGAACGCUGGCGGAAUGCUUUACACAUGCAAGUCGAACGGUAGAGGGGGCAACCCCUUGAGAGUGGCGAACGGGUGAGUAAUAUAUCGGAACGUGCCCAGUCGUGGGGGAUAACGUAGCGAAAGUUACGCUAAUACCGCAUACGAUCUACGGAUGAAAGCGGGGGACCGUAAGGCCUCGCGCGAUUGGAGCGGCCGAUAUCAGAUUAGGUAGUUGGUGGGGUAAAAGGCUCACCAAGCCAACGAUCUGUAGCUGGUCUGAGAGGACGACCAGCCACACUGGAACUGAGACACGGUCCAGACUCCUACGGGAGGCAGCAGUGGGGAAUUUUGGACAAUGGACGAAAGUCUGAUCCAGCCAUUCCGCGUGCAGGAUGAAGGCCCUCGGGUUGUAAACUGCUUUUGUACGGAACGAAAAGGUUUGUCUUAAUACGAUGAGCUCAUGACGGUACCGUAAGAAUAAGCACCGGCUAACUACGUG